rnacentral:rRNA from 1 species
UACGAAGGGGGCUAGCGUUGUUCGGAAUUACUGGGCGUAAAGCGCACGUAGGCGGCAUUGCAAGUCGGAUGUGAAAUCCCUCGGCUUAACCAAGGAAGUGCAUCCGAAACUGCUGUGCUUGAGUACUUAAGAGGAUCGCGGAAUUCCCGGUGUAGAGGUGAAAUUCGUAGAUAUCGGGAGGAACACCAGUGGCGAAGGCGGCGAUCUGGGAAGAUACUGACGCUGAGGUGCGAAAGCGUGGGAGCAAACAGG